rnacentral:rRNA from 1 species
AUUGAACGCUGGCGGCAGGCCUAACACAUGCAAGUCGAACGAGUGGCGGACGGGUGAGUAAUGUCUGGGAAACUGCCUGAUGGAGGGGGAUAACUACUGGAAACGGUAGCUAAUACCGCAUACCAUCGGAUGUGCCCAGAUGGGAUUAGCUAGUAGGUGGGGUAAAGGCUCACCUAGGCGACGAUCCCUAGCUGGUCUGAGAGGAUGACGAGCCACACGGGAAUUGGGAAACGGCCAAGAUUCCUACGGGAGGAAGAAGGGGGGAAUAUUGCACAAUGGGCGAAAGCCUGAGGCAGCCAUGCCGGGUGUGUGAAGAAGGCCUUCGGGUGGUAAAGCACUUUCAGCGAGGAGGCGGUACUCGCAGAAGAAGCACCGGCUAACUACGUGCCAGCAGCCGCGGUAAUAC